UACGUAGGGUGCGAGCGUUGUCCGGAAUUAUUGGGCGUAAAGAGCUUGUAGGCGGUUUGUCGCGUCUGCUGUGAAAUUUCGGGGCUCAACCCCGAACUUGCAGUGGGUACGGGCAGACUAGAGUGUGGUAGGGGAGACUGGAAUUCCUGGUGUAGCGGUGAAAUGCGCAGAUAUCAGGAGGAACACCGGUGGCGAAGGCGGGUCUCUGGGCCGAAAUUGACGCUGAGGAGCGAAAGCGUGGGGAGCAAACAGG
rnacentral:rRNA from 1 species